rnacentral:lncRNA from 1 species
UUGGCAUGUCUGUCAACAUGUUUGAGUGGCUCUCCUCUAGACAGAAACGAGAAUAAGCAAGCUGGCAGGCUUCCUUGCAUCCUGGGGCAUUGAGUAUCAGCCCAUGUUUAGUGCCGGAAGCGCCACAGCAGACAGCUUGUGUUUUCUUACCCCUCGAAUAGCUGCGCUUCCCUGGUCUGGGUGCCCAGCUAAAUUCUCAGCCUGGGCUUGUGGAGUUCUUUGUAGAUGUAUUUAAGAAGGC